rnacentral:rRNA from 1 species
UCUGCUAGUCUUGAUGAACAACAUGUUCAUACUCCUAAUAUUUAUGAUCCAAGCAAUCGGGAUAAUCUUGAUACUAAAUCAAGAGACAUUUUAGUUGAGAAGGGCUGUGAGAGAGGAAAAAAAAUGGAAUACCAUGUAGAUGGAGCAGGAAGACAUUUUUCAUAUGCUCAUUAUCAUAGGAAAUUAAGCAAUGGAGAGAAACAUGAUAGAAAGUGGCUAGUUUAUUCAAAAGUUCUCGAUAAAGUUUUUUGCUUCUCUUGUAAGAUCUUCUAUUGUAGUGUCUGCUAUGGAGAUUUUCGAGCAUUGUCAGAGAAGUUGAUUGCUAUUCUAAUAUCUCCAUUGCUUUCACGGUCGCAUCGGCCGAAAGAAGCUUUUCAAAGUUAA